rnacentral:lncRNA from 1 species
CCACCACCACAUACUAUUAAUAUCAUUUCAAUUUUCAAACAACUCUGCCUCUUUAAAUUAAAUUCUUAGUAGUUUUUUUUUUUUUUUACCAAAGAUAGGAGACUCGAAUCUGCAACCUCUUAAUUGAGUAUGAAGAGACUAUGUCAUUUGAGCUAUUACUCUUUGGCAAUUCUUAGUAGUUAAUACUUACCAUACUAUGAUUUCAUAUCAAUAUAUUUUUCUUUUUUCUUUCUUUCUUUUGAGGGUAUCAUAUCAAUAACAUAUGCAUAGUUGCAUACCAUAACGUCUCAUUUGUUUUCUCAUAUAUAGAAAUACAACCAAAAAGAGAUUUUUUUUUUGAAAAAAAAGAAAAAAGAAAAAAAAAAAACACAGACAUUCUUCCUUGUAUUGAGGGAUUCCCCCACCCUCUUCCUCCCCCUUUUGCAUGCAUUUGUAAUUUUUGUACGAGGAGGCAAUGCAUUCCCCCUCCUCCUUAAAUCUUCACAUUAUUAUUAUUAACAUCAAUAUCAAUAUCAAUAUCAAACUAUAACAUUGAUCAAAUUUCUUAUUUUUUUUGUUUCUAGUUUUUCCUGGGGGUUUUCAAAUUCCAGUGUUGCAUUUUCUUUCAUUUCAUGCCCAGCUUGAUGACCUUAAAAUUUGAUAUGUUGAGGCUGCUGGUUGCAUUUGAAGGGUGCCCAUUUGAGAUUUUAGCCUUUCUUUCCCUUCUCUGCGUUCAAAAUUAGAUUUUUCUUAUUGG